rnacentral:lncRNA from 1 species
GGGAUAGUCGCCAAAAGAAACCUUCAGCGGCAUAGGACCACCACCAAGCGGCGAGGCGAGGCGAGGCGAGGCGAGACUCGAGCAUCGACCUUCAAAGAUAGACCAGAGCAGACCAGAAAAGCUUCUACCACAAACAUAGAGAAGCACAACAGAACCACCGAAACAUCUGACAGAGAGAGAGAGAGAGAGCCGAGAAAAACUACGUCGGCGAGAAGGAAGC